AGUGAACGCUGGCGGUAGGCCUAACACAUGCAAGUCGAACGGCAGCACAGUAAGAGCUUGCUCUUACGGGUGGCGAGUGGCGGACGGGUGAGGAAUACAUCGGAAUCUACUUUUUCGUGGGGGAUAACGUAGGGAAACUUACGCUAAUACCGCAUACGACCUACGGGUGAAAGCAGGGGAUCUUCGGACCUUGCGCGAUUGAAUGAGCCGAUGUCGGAUUAGCUAGUUGGCGGGGUAAAGGCCCACCAAGGCGACGAUCCGUAGCUGGUCUGAGAGGAUGGUCAGCCACACUGGAACUGAGACACGGUCCAGACUCCUACGGGAGGCAGCAGUGGGGAAUAUUGGACAAAGGGCGCAAGCCUGAUCCAGCCAUACCGCGUGGGUGAAGAAGGCCUUCGGGUUGUAAAGCCCUUUUGUUGGGAAAGAAAAGCAGCAGGUUAAUACCCCGCUGUUCCGACGGUACCCAAAGAAUAAGCACCGGCUAACUUCGUG
rnacentral:rRNA from 1 species